AUGAAAUAAAACAAUUAGAUGAAUUGUUGAAAAUGUCCACCUUGCGCCAUGAUACAUCCAUCGAGCCUUCUUCUCAAAGAUUGACGUGCACGCUCAAAGAUACGAGGUGUGUUACGUAUUGCCUCGCAUAAAGCAACUAUUCGAUUCCUCAAAUUAUUCUCAUUCUCAAUUGGGGUGGACAUAUCUGCCAUCUCAA